rnacentral:rRNA from 1 species
UACAGAGGUCUCAAGCGUUGUUCGGAUUCAUUGGGCGUAAAGCGCACGUAGGCGGCUUGGUAUGUCGGGUGUGAAAUCCCCGGGCUCAACCUGGGAACUGCAUCCGAAACUGCCUUGCUCGAGUAUGGGAGAGGGAAGUGGAAUUUCCGGUGUAGCGGUGAAAUGCGUAGAUAUCGGAAGGAACAUCAGAGGCGAAGGCGGGUUACUGGGCUGAUACUGACGCUGAUGCGCGAAAGCUAGGGGAGCAAACGGG